UGGGGAAUCUUCCGCAAUGGGCGCAAGCCUGACGGAGCUAUACCGCGUGAGGGAAGAAGGCUCUUGGGCUGUAAACCUCUUUUCUUGGGGAAGAAACCUGACGGUACCCAAGGAAUCAGCCUCGGCCAACUCCGUGCCAGCAGCCGCGGUAAUACGGAGGAGGCAAGCGUUAUCCGGAAUUAUUGGGCGUAAAGCGUCCGCAGGUGGCUCGCUCAAGUCUGCGGUCAAAGACCGGGGCUUAACCCCGGAGCGGCCGUGGAAACUGAGGAGCUCGAGUGCGGUAGGGGUAGAGGGAAUUCCCAGUGUAGCGGUGAAAUGCGUAGAGAUUGGGAAGAACACCAGUGGCGAAAGCGCUCUACUGGACCGCAACUGACACUCAGGGACGAAAGCUAGGGGAGCGAAAGGGAUUAGAUACCCCCGUAGUCC
rnacentral:rRNA from 1 species